CUGCCUUGGUGUUUGGCUGAAUUGUCACUGAAUUCCUCCCUGACUUCUGUUUUCUUUCUGGAGACACAAGAAAAGCGCGCUAGUGGAAAGUUCCGCCGAGGAGUCUCCGCCCCCUUUUCCCCGCGGCGGCCUCUUCCCUCCCCGCUCGCCUUCAGGGGUCUGCCAGCAUCUCCAGCGCCGGGUGCGCUGCAGCGGGCUCCCUGCGGGCGAGGAUUCGUUAGUGCCGACAAUAGGCAAGCCGCGGAUGGUUUUCCUAACAAGCGCGAAGGAAUAAGUAAAACCAGCUGGUGCCUGGAAACAGAGGCAGCAAAAGUGGUCCUGGCUCAAGACGGAAGUUAAUUUCCUGAAGGAGCAGAUAUAUGUAAACCAAGGUGGAUGCAGGGGAACAGGCAUGGGACUGGGACUCUGGUAAGUGUUAUCUAGCUAGGGUGAUUAUGGAAUCAGUCCAAUUCCCUUUGGAGUUAAGGGGCAUUAUUUAAUAAUUAUGCUGGGUCAACAUGUGUCAACUGGAACUGCCUUGGGCAAAGCAAGACCCUAGUUCUAGCCCCAAAUCAAUCACUUACUGAUUCUCUGAUCUCAUGAAAUUCUCUUAGCCUUCCUGGGUCUCAGUUUCCUCAUCUGUCUCAAUUCCUGUCUGUGAUGACAUCAUGACAUCAUGACAGCUUUUAAACAUAAAAAUUAACUUUUAUUUAUCAAAAGCACAUAUGACUACCAGUCCCAAACUUUUGGUUUUAAUGAAAAGCCAGUGUGAACACUCUUAGUACCUAUAAUUGCAGCUGAAUGGAAAGGAAGCUAAUUAGCUUAUGUAGUAUUAUUUAGUAACAAAUUCUCAUUUCUUUUGGACUAUUGCUGAAUACUAAGAGGCUGAGGGUUGAGAAUCC
rnacentral:lncRNA from 1 species